rnacentral:rRNA from 1 species
UACGAAGGGGGCUAGCGUUGUUCGGAAUUACUGGGCGUAAAGGGCGCGUAGGCGGUCCUGAUCGUCGGAUGUGAAAGGCCUGGGCUCAACCUGGGAACUGCAUCCGAUACGGCGGGACUGGAGUGUGGGAGAGGUUGGUGGAAUUCCCGGUGUAGUGGUGGAAUGCGUAGAUAUCGGGAGGAACACCUGUGGCGAAGGCGGCCCCCUGGUUGGAUACUGACGCUGAUACGCGAAAGCGUGGGGGAGCAAACAGG